rfam:Triticum aestivum genome assembly, contig: Triticum_aestivum_CS42_TGACv1_scaffold_513662_6BS
CUCAUACUCCCUCCAUCCGGAAAUACUUGUCGUUGAAAUGAAUGUAUCUAGAUGCAUUUUAAUUCUAGAUACAUCCAUUUAUGCGACAAGUAAUUCCGGGCAGAGGGAGUAUGUU